GUGGGGAAUCUUAGACAAUGGGGGAAACCCUGAUCUAGCCAUGCCGCGUGAGCGAUGAAGGCCUUAGGGUUGUAAAGCUCUUUCAGCUGGGAAGAUAAUGACGGUACCAGCAGAAGAAGCCCCGGCUAACUCCGUGCCAGCAGCCGCGGUAAUACGGAGGGGGCUAGCGUUGUUCGGAAUUACUGGGCGUAAAGCGCGCGUAGGCGGACCAGAAAGUUGGAGGUGAAAUCCCAGGGCUCAACCUUGGAACGGCCUUCAAAACUCCUGGUCUGGAGUUCGAGAGAGGUGAGUGGAAUUCCGAGUGUAGAGGUGAAAUUCGUAGAUAUUCGGAGGAACACCGUGGCGAAGGCGGCUCACUGGCUCGAUACUGACGCUGAGGUGCGAAAGCGUGGGGAGCAAACAGGAUUAGAAACCCGGGUAGUCC
rnacentral:rRNA from 1 species